rnacentral:rRNA from 1 species
GUAGGUGGCAAGCGUUGUCCGGAAUUAUUGGGCGUUAAAGCGCGCGCAGGGCGGUUCUUUAAGUCUGAUGUGAAAGCCCACGGCUCAACCGUGGAGGGUCAUUGGAAACUGGAGAACUUGAGUACAGAAGAGGAAAGCGGAAUUCCACGUGUAGCGGUGAAAUGCGUAGAGAUGUGGAGGAACACCAGUGGCGAAGGCGGCUUUCUGGUCUGUAACUGACGCUGAGGCGCGAAAGCGUGGGGAGCAAACAGGAUUAGAUACCCUGGUAGUCCACGCCGUAAACGAUGAGUGCUAAGUGUUAGGGGUUUCCGCCCCUUAGUGCUGCAGCUAACGCGUUAAGCACUCCGCCUGGGGAGUACGACCGCAAGGUUG